GAGUUUGAUCAUGGCUCAGGAUGAACGCUGGCGGCGUGCUUAACACAUGCAAGUCGAACGAACCUUCGGGUUAGUGGCGGACGGGUGAGUAACGCGUGGGAAUCUGCCCUCAGGAGGGGGAUAACGGCCGGAAACGGCCGCUAAUACCCCAUAUGCCGAGAGGUGAAAUGAAUUUCGCCUGAGGAUGAGCCCGCGUCUGAUUAGCUAGUUGGUGAGGUAAGAGCUCACCAAGGCAUCGAUCAGUAGCUGGUCUGAGAGGAUGAUCAGCCACACUGGGACUGAGACACGGCCCAGACUCCUACGGGAGGCAGCAGUGGGGAAUUUUCCGCAAUGGGCGAAAGCCUGACGGAGCAACGCCGCGUGAGGGAUGAAGGCCUCUGGGCUGUAAACCUCUUUUAUCAAGGAAGAAGAUCUGACGGUACUUGAUGAAUAAGCCACGGCUAAUUCCGUGCCAGCAGCCGCGGUAAUACGGGAGUGGCAAGCGUUAUCCGGAAUUAUUGGGCGUAAAGCGUCCGCAGGCGGCCCUACAAGUCUGCUGUUAAAAAGUGGAGCUUAACUCCAUCAUGGCAGUGGAAACUGUUGGGCUCGAGUGUGGUAGGGGCAGAGGGAAUUCCCGGUGUAGCGGUGAAAUGCGUAGAUAUCGGGAAGAACACCAGUGGCGAAGGCGCUCUGCUGGGCCAUCACUGACGCUCAUGGACGAAAGCCAGGGGAGCGAAAGGGAUUAGAUACCCCUGUAGUCCUGGCCGUAAACGAUGAACACUAGGUGUCGGGGGAAUCGACCCCUCCGGUGUCGUAGCCAACGCGUUAAGUGUUCCGCCUGGGGAGUGCGCACGCAAGUGUGAAACUCAAAGGAAUUGACGGGGGCCCGCACAAGCGGUGGAGUAUGUGGUUUAAUUCGAUGCAACGCGAAGAACCUUACCAGGGUUUGACAUCCUGCGAAUCUCUUGGAAACUUGAGAGUGCCUUCGGGAGCGCAGUGACAGGUGGUGCAUGGCUGUCGUCAGCUCGUGUCGUGAGAUGUUGGGUUAAGUCCCGCAACGAGCGCAACCCACGUCUUUAGUUGCCAGCAUUUAGUUGGGCACUCUAGAGAGACCGCCGGUGAUAAACCGGAGGAAGGUGUGGAUGACGUCAAGUCAUCAUGCCCCUUACAUCCUGGGCUACACACGUACUACAAUGCUACGGACAAAGGGCAGCAAGUUCGCGAGGACAAGCAAAUCCCAUAAACCGUAGCUCAGUUCAGAUCGUAGGCUGCAACUCGCCUACGUGAAGGAGGAAUCGCUAGUAAUCGCAGGUCAGCAUACUGCGGUGAAUACGUUCCCGGGCCUUGUACACACCGCCCGUCACACCAUGGAAGUUGGCCAUGCCCGAAGCCGUUACUCCAACCCUUGUGGAGGAGGACGUCGAAGGUGGGGCUGAUGACUGGGGUGAAGUCGUAACAAGGUAACC
rnacentral:rRNA from 1 species